CGUUCUCCCCAUUUUUUCUCUCCCUCCCACCGAAAAUGUUGCGGCGGCUCGGCAGUUCUCCCCAGAUGCGCUCGGUGGCCGGCGGCUGCUUCACCGCAAGCCGGAGGCAGUGACGGGCGGGCGGGCGGCCAGGCGGUGACGAAGGAUCCAGUCGGCAGGCCGGAGGUACUGACGGGAGAAGCGGCAAGGCGACGACUGACAAGUCCACGAUGCCAUCUCCAACUCCUAGUACGCGUACAGGCAAGCCCCCUGUGCUCUGUUUGCUUGAGACCGUGAGUGCUGAAAUGGUGGUCCUUCGUUGUGUUGAACUGGUGCAGAUCUUAAUGGAUGUGGUGUUGCUGAAUUGGUGAUGUUUCUUUCUGUUGAACUGGUGCAGACAUUGAGACAUUAAGUUGAACUGGGUAUGGUGGACGACCAGUUCCGGCAGCUGCAGUCGCUGCAGGAGGAUGGCGGCAGCACGUCGGGCUUCGUCGCCGAGGUCGCCACCCUCUUCAUCGACGACGCCGACCGGAUCAUCAACGACAUCGGCAGCCUGCUGGAUGCCGGCGGAACCUAGCCACCACUCCCCGCCGCGCCCCUCGUUGGUUACUUGCCGUGCUCGAUUUUUCCUUCCACGGACGAUUCUGUCAUUCGCCUCUACUGCCGGUGGUCGUGCCAGUCAUGCUCCUACUGGGACAUGCAUCCUUUAGCUAAAUUCAUCUUUGUUUGAUGUAGUUCUUUGUGAUCUGAAAGCAACUGACUACUCAAUACCAAUCAGUGCAUGGAGGGAACUCCUGUCCACCACGCCGGCGACAGGAACAUGGAAAACGCAGUCCACGGUGCCACCAAUGAACAAGGCCGAGACAAGCAUUGUAAGGAUCCAGUUAGAAUGAUGCUUGAUCUCCUGUUAGAGCAUCUUGGGCUUCACAAGGCCAUCUGAGACUCGGGCUCAAUGAGAACACAAUGAGUGUCAUCGUUCUCUCUGACACUGCUGUUCAAGACGACCGGACCUGUCCACCGCGCAUGCCCAUUACUGGUGUUCAGUCCUCCAAUGACAAUAUCUACCGUGUAUGAACAUUGCAUCCUUUAAUUUACCCUGUAUAUGAACAUUCCAUUCUUCAAAUGUGUUGUACUAUCGUUCUGGUGGCUAUGGAGAUGUGUUGUACUGUAGUUUUGGUAUCCAUUGAUGAUGUCUUGCUCCGAUUACACUUGAAUGUUUCUUUUUUUAAAUCCUGAUUGAAUACAUAUGAUAAGCCUGGCUUUCUACUAACUUCACCAUUACAUGCAUGGGCACAUCGUUGAAACCGGCACCCUCGCGCCAAGGCGCGCUGCCGAUCUAGUAUAUUCGGAGGCUGACCAGGGGAUCGAUCGAUCAUUCUAUCCAUCGUUUCCUACUUUCGGCGCCGACGCACGCACAUAUCUCCCUGCUGCGACUAACCGCCUAGCUAGGGCAGUUCGCACAACCGAUCAGCGAGCAAGGAAAUUCGCCGUACAGAGGUACUGAAUGCUCACACAUUUAACUUCGGUCUCGAUGAUCCUCGGAAAUGGUGUCCCUGAUGUCCCAGCCCCUCCACCACCCCGUGCACUGGCCCUCGACUUGAGGCCUGUGCUAGAUCCUAGGGAUUUCCAGAAUAAAUGGAGCCAACUAGCAUUAUCUUUUUCUCAGGAAUGCUCUUUAACUCCACAAGGGGCAGCUUCUUUGAUGAAUCACCAAUCGCUCAUUCGUCAUAUGCAAAACAACUACAUUCAAUGCGUUGCUUCAGGCGGCCAGCCUCCAAACCACAAGUUCUUCUUUUAUGGUCAGAAAGCUGGGGCUGCUGCUUUCUACUCCCUCCGUUCGGAAUUACUUGUCACAAAAAUGGAUGUAUCUACAACUAAAAUACAUCUAGAUACAUUCAUUUCUCGAACGAGUAAUUCCGAACGGAGGGAGUACCUUGUAGAAUGCAUUGUGAACCCAGCAUCAUCCAAGGCCCAGCUCAAAAUUAAGGCCGACGAUGGGGCUACUGCUGAGGCCUUUUCUACUUUGUUUCAAUCAGUAUUGUCUGAAUUUGGGCUUUCUUGAUCACGAGGACUAAUUUUCUUCAGGGUUAUGGUGGUUUAGAUGGUGUGUAACCUUGUUACUGGAGUGGACCUGAAUAUCACCUCCGUUGAUGUGGAGAGAAUAGAUAGUAAUUUAUUUGCGGGGAGCAAUAAAGCAAGAGUAUAGUCGACUUGUUCA